rnacentral:rRNA from 1 species
UACCAGCACCCCGAGUGGUCGGGACGAUUAUUGGGCCUAAAGCAUCCGUAGCCGGUCAUGCAAGUCCUCCUUUAAAUCCAGCCGCUCAACGGUUGGGCUGCGGAGGAUACUACGUGGCUAGGAGGCGGGAGAGGCAAGCGGUACUCAGUGGGUAGGGGUAAAAUCCUUUGAUCCAUUGAAGACCACCAGUGGCGAAGGCGGCUUGCCAGAACGCGCUCGACGGUGAGGGAUGAAAGCUGGGGGAGCAAACCGG